AUUGAACGCUGGCGGCAGGCCUAACACAUGCAAGUCGAGCGGAGCGGCGGACGGGUGAGUAAUGCCUAGGUAUCUGCCUGGUAGUGGGGGAUAACGUCCGGAAACGGGAGCUAAUACCGCAUACUAUCAGAUAAGCCUAGGUCGGUUUAGCUAGUUGGUGGGGUAAAGGCUUAGCAAGGCGACGAUCCGUAUCUGGUCUGAGAGGAUGAUCAGUCACACGGGAACUGAGACACGGUCCAGACUCCUACGGGAGGCAGCAGUGGGGAAUAUGGGACAAUGGGCGAAAGCCUGAUCCAGCCAUGCCGCGUGUGUGAAGAAGGUCUUCGGAUUGUAAAGCACUUGAAGUUGGGAGGCGUUACCAACAGAAUAAGCACCGGCUAACUUCGUGCCAGCAGCCGCGGUAAUUC
rnacentral:rRNA from 1 species